GGUUAAGCGACUAAGCGUACACGGUGGAUGCCCUGGCAGUCAGAGGCGAUGAAGGACGUGCUAAUCUGCGAUAAGCGUCGGUAAGGUGAUAUGAACCGUUAUAACCGGCGAUUUCCGAAUGGGGAAACCCAGUGUGUUUCGACACACUAUCAUUAACUGAAUCCAUAGGUUAAUGAGGCGAACCGGGGGAACUGAAACAUCUAAGUACCCCGAGGAAAAGAAAUCAACCGAGAUUCCCCCAGUAGCGGCGAGCGAACGGGGAGCAGCCCAGAGCCUGAAUCAGUGUGUGUGUUAGUGGAAGCGUCUGGAAAGGCGCGCGAUACAGGGUGACAGCCCCGUACACAAAAAUGCACAUACUGUGAGCUCGAUGAGUAGGGCGGGACACGUGGUAUCCUGUCUGAAUAUGGGGGGACCAUCCUCCAAGGCUAAAUACUCCUGACUGACCGAUAGUGAACCAGUACCGUGAGGGAAAGGCGAAAAGAACCCCGGCGAGGGGAGUGAAAAAGAACCUGAAACCGUGUACGUACAAGCAGUGGGAGCACGCUUCGGCGUGUGACUGCGUACCUUUUGUAUAAUGGGUCAGCGACUUAUAUUCUGUAGCAAGGUUAACCGAAUAGGGGAGCCGAAGGGAAACCGAGUCUUAACUGGGCGUUAAGUUGCAGGGUAUAGACCCGAAACCCGGUGAUCUAGCCAUGGGCAGGUUGAAGGUUGGGUAACACUAACUGGAGGACCGAACCGACUAAUGUUGAAAAAUUAGCGGAUGACUUGUGGCUGGGGGUGAAAGGCCAAUCAAACCGGGAGAUAGCUGGUUCUCCCCGAAAGCUAUUUAGGUAGCGCCUCGUGAAUUCAUCUCCGGGGGUAGAGCACUGUUUCGGCAAGGGGGUCAUCCCGACUUACCAACCCGAUGCAAACUGCGAAUACCGGAGAAUGUUAUCACGGGAGACACACGGCGGGUGCUAACGUCCGUCGUGAAGAGGGAAACAACCCAGACCGCCAGCUAAGGUCCCAAAGUCAUGGUUAAGUGGGAAACGAUGUGGGAAGGCCCAGACAGCCAGGAUGUUGGCUUAGAAGCAGCCAUCAUUUAAAGAAAGCGUAAUAGCUCACUGGUCGAGUCGGCCUGCGCGGAAGAUGUAACGGGGCUAAACCAUGCACCGAAGCUGCGGCAGCGACACUAUGUGUUGUUGGGUAGGGGAGCGUUCUGUAAGCCUGUGAAGGUGUGCUGUGAGGCAUGCUGGAGGUAUCAGAAGUGCGAAUGCUGACAUAAGUAACGAUAAAGCGGGUGAAAAGCCCGCUCGCCGGAAGACCAAGGGUUCCUGUCCAACGUUAAUCGGGGCAGGGUGAGUCGACCCCUAAGGCGAGGCCGAAAGGCGUAGUCGAUGGGAAACAGGUUAAUAUUCCUGUACUUGGUGUUACUGCGAAGGGGGGACGGAGAAGGCUAUGUUGGCCGGGCGACGGUUGUCCCGGUUUAAGCGUGUAGGCUGGUUUUCCAGGCAAAUCCGGAAAAUCAAGGCUGAGGCGUGAUGACGAGGCACUACGGUGCUGAAGCAACAAAUGCCCUGCUUCCAGGAAAAGCCUCUAAGCAUCAGGUAACAUUAAAUCGUACCCCAAACCGACACAGGUGGUCAGGUAGAGAAUACCAAGGCGCUUGAGAGAACUCGGGUGAAGGAACUAGGCAAAAUGGUGCCGUAACUUCGGGAGAAGGCACGCUGAUAUGUAGGUGAAGUCCCUCGCGGAUGGAGCUGAAAUCAGUCGAAGAUACCAGCUGGCUGCAACUGUUUAUUAAAAACACAGCACUGUGCAAACACGAAAGUGGACGUAUACGGUGUGACGCCUGCCCGGUGCCGGAAGGUUAAUUGAUGGGGUUAGCGGUAACGCGAAGCUCUUGAUCGAAGCCCCGGUAAACGGCGGCCGUAACUAUAACGGUCCUAAGGUAGCGAAAUUCCUUGUCGGGUAAGUUCCGACCUGCACGAAUGGCGUAAUGAUGGCCAGGCUGUCUCCACCCGAGACUCAGUGAAAUUGAACUCGCUGUGAAGAUGCAGUGUACCCGCGGCAAGACGGAAAGACCCCGUGAACCUUUACUAUAGCUUGACACUGAACAUUGAGCCUUGAUGUGUAGGAUAGGUGGGAGGCUUUGAAGUGUGGACGCCAGUCUGCAUGGAGCCGACCUUGAAAUACCACCCUUUAAUGUUUGAUGUUCUAACGUUGACCCGUGAUCCGGGUUGCGGACAGUGUCUGGUGGGUAGUUUGACUGGGGCGGUCUCCUCCUAAAGAGUAACGGAGGAGCACGAAGGUUGGCUAAUCCUGGUCGGACAUCAGGAGGUUAGUGCAAUGGCAUAAGCCAGCUUGACUGCGAGCGUGACGGCGCGAGCAGGUGCGAAAGCAGGUCAUAGUGAUCCGGUGGUUCUGAAUGGAAGGGCCAUCGCUCAACGGAUAAAAGGUACUCCGGGGAUAACAGGCUGAUACCGCCCAAGAGUUCAUAUCGACGGCGGUGUUUGGCACCUCGAUGUCGGCUCAUCACAUCCUGGGGCUGAAGUAGGUCCCAAGGGUAUGGCUGUUCGCCAUUUAAAGUGGUACGCGAGCUGGGUUUAGAACGUCGUGAGACAGUUCGGUCCCUAUCUGCCGUGGGCGCUGGAGAACUGAGGGGGGCUGCUCCUAGUACGAGAGGACCGGAGUGGACGCAUCACUGGUGUUCGGGUUGUCAUGCCAAUGGCACUGCCCGGUAGCUAAAUGCGGAAGAGAUAAGUGCUGAAAGCAUCUAAGCACGAAACUUGCC
rnacentral:rRNA from 1 species